UACAGAGGGUGCAAGCGUUAAUCGGAAUUACUGGGGCGUAAAGCGUGCGUAGACGGUUGCGUAAGUCAGAUGUGAAAGCCCCGGGCUCAACCUGGGAAUUGCAUUUGAGACUGCGUAGCUAGGGUGCGGAAGAGGGAAGCGGAAUUUCCGGGUGUGAGCGGUGGAAAUGCGUAGAUAUCGGAAGGAACACCAGUGGCGAAAGCGGCUUCCUGGUCCAGCACCGGACGUUCAGGCACGAAAGCGUGGGGAG
rnacentral:rRNA from 1 species